GUACAUUUUAAUCAUGCUCUUCAGCUAUUGGACUCUAUCCUAAUCCAACUACCCUCCGAGUCUGAAAUACAGGAUUUUGUGAAGCUGCAGUGAAGUACUUAGUAAUUCUGUACCAGAUAAAGACAAAUCAUUUAAUCAAACUCCUCUAUAUUAUAUUAUUGUGAAUAAUGCAUGAUUUCGCUAAUUUCAGUUUUAAAUUCGAAAAAAUUUCUACCAAAAAUAA